rnacentral:rRNA from 1 species
UACGGAGGGUGCAAGCGUUAUCCGGAUUCACUGGGUUUAAAGGGUGUGUAGGCGGGCAGUUAAGUCAGUGGUGAAAUCUCCGGGCUCAACCCGGAAACUGCCAUUGAUACUAUCUGUCUUGAAUUUUUGUUGAGGUAGGCGGAAUAUGUCAUGUAGCGGUGAAAAUGCAUAGAUAUGACAUAGAACACCAAUUGCGAAGGCAGCUUACUAAGCAAAAUAUUUGACGCUGAGGCACGAAAAGCGUGGGGGAUCAAAACGG